UACGAAGGGGGGCUAGCGUUGCUCGGAAUCACUGGGCGUAAAGGGUGCGUAGGCGGACUGCCAAGUCCGGGGUGAAAUCCUCCGGCUUAACCCGGAGAAUUGCCUGGGAUACUGGCGGUCUUGAGGGAGGUAGGGGCACGCGGAACUUCCGGUGGAGCGGUGAAAUGCGUUGAUAUCGGAAGGAACGCCGGUGGCGAAAGCGGCGUGCUGGCCCUCUUCUGACGCUGAGGCGCGAAAGCCAGGGGAGGCGAACGGG
rnacentral:rRNA from 1 species